AUUGAACGCUGGCGGCAUGCCUUACACAUGCAAGUCGAACGGUAACGCGGGGCAACCUGGCGACGAGUGGCGAACGGGUGAGUAAUGCAUCGGAACGUGCCCAGUAGUGGGGGAUAGCCCGGCGAAAGCCGGAUUAAUACCGCAUACGACCUACGGGUGAAAGCGGGGGACCGUAAGGCCUCGCGCUAUUGGAGCGGCCGAUGUCAGAUUAGGUAGUUGGUGGGGUAAAGGCCUACCAAGCCUUCGAUCUGUAGCUGGUCUGAGAGGACGACCAGCCACACUGGGACUGAGACACGGCCCAGACUCCUACGGGAGGCAGCAGUGGGGAAUUUUGGACAAUGGGCGAAAGCCUGAUCCAGCCAUGCCGCGUGAGUGAAGAAGGCCUCGGUUGUAAG
rnacentral:rRNA from 1 species